CGACCACCCCUCUGGGGUCAGGGCCAUACGGACAGCUGGUCAGAAGCCCG
rnacentral:sRNA from 1 species